rnacentral:lncRNA from 1 species
AGAUCCAAGAAGCCAUCUCCUCCAGUUGGGCACAGUGCACAAGGGAAAGAAGGCAAGGGGAAGGAGGGGGCCACACUGACAGUCCAGCUGCUUAAGCUUGCCCAAGAGUACAGGGCAGAGACAAAUUAAGAGAAGAAGCAAAGACUGUACAAGUCUGUACUAAGAAGAAAGCUGCUGGCAAAGGGGAAGUCUCACCUAAGAGACCCUGUCCUUCAGCAGGGAUCAGUACAGUCAAGUACAGUCAAGAAGCAGCUGGUGAUGACUGCCCACAACUUAGACCCCAUUGAUUUGGUGGUCGUCCUGUCUGCCCUGUGUUGCAAGAUUGGGGGUGCCUUACUACAUCAUCAAGGGAAUGGGCAGGCUGGGGUGGCUGGUCCACAGCAACUUCCACCACUGUUGCCUUUACACAGGUUAACUUGGAAGAUGAGGGUGUUUUGGCUAAGUUGGUGGAAGCUAUCAGGACUAAUUACAAAGACAGGUAUGAGGAGAUUCACUGACAAUGGAGAGGCAAUGUCCCGGGUCCUAAAUCU